ACUCAUUUUUCUGGGCUUCUUGGCUGAUGGUGGUAACUUUGAAGGAAGAAGCUGGGUUUAUCUCUGGGACUUGGGGUAAUCAAGUUGGAGGUGGCCCUGGCUGAUUUGAAGGCAGAAGAAGAAGGACAAUAGUCCAUAUCUCUCUGACUUGCUCUGUUUCAUGUAACACAUGUCCUGGUGGAAACAAAGCAGGGUUUGUUCGGGUAAUGUCUGCCUCUGGAAUUCGGAAGCCUCAGCAUCACGUCCCUGGGCAACGGGGUUAGACGAAAACUGUAAAAACCCACCCUCCAUUUGAAAGGAUCUGUUGGUGUUGCCAGCAAGCUCGUGUGCUGACAACAUUCCAGGAAUGGGUGAUUAUAUGUGACCUUAAUAGAUAUGACGGCUGUAAAAGGCAUGUCUCUGUAUCUAUUCCUUCCUUGAUUCUCACAUUUCAUCUAGUGUGAGGUAAGUCUGGGAGAGCCAGACUAUUUGACUAUUUGAACUGUAUUUUCCCUGGCUAACUCUCCUCCUUAAUUUCCUCCCAUCAUCCCAACAUUUAUUAACAUGAUAUAAUGUGGUGAAAUACUUGAAGGAAUGAAGUCAAAGAAAUGAAAUCAACUUCCAUGGAUUGCUGAGUGAGGGGAAGACUCAGUCAUCCAAGAAGCUCAAUUAUUUUUUGCCCUUUUCCCAUACCCAGAAGACAUUUUGUUUCCUUCUUCAUUUUAACAUCUUAUACAUCUUUUAUGAUUUCCUAAAUAUAGAUAUGUUACAACCUCAAUGGAGAGAUCAUCUGUUGAAGCUCCAGGGAUAUGCACACAAUGUGCCCAGCAGGCAAAUCGCAAAACAAAACAGAGUAUGCUCAGCACUUUUCCUAUGGCUCCACAAAGGAACCAAAAUAAGACUCCUGGAAACAUGGGUUGAGUAAUCAAGUCCUUUUUCUAGAUGUACAACAGAACAGUUUAGGGAAGAUAAUAUAUUCAGCUCAUUCCAUUGAACAGUCAUUUAGAAGAGGAAAAAGAAGCAUUGGAGCAAAGAAAGAAAAGAAUAUGACCUCUUUUUGCACCUGCAAUGACUUGUAAGCAUCACAUCUCACUCCCAGGCUUGUCCUGAGUUCUCAGGGCUCGAGGAAAUGAUUCUUGCCCCUAGAAUUCACUAAUUGUGAAUGGAAUUUUUUUCCAGGCAGGAAGGGACAGUGAGGGGCUGGUGGGUAGGUUGGUUGGUUGGUUGGUUGGUUGGUUUGGAAAAGAUUCCUUUAGGCAAGAGUUGCAACAAGCACUCUUGGUCCCUGGUGCAAAUGUCACAAAAUACACUCAUGCAAACAAUAGUACCUUUGAAUCAACUUCUUGACACAAACUUAUAGGAGAAGGUGAUGAGACCCCAUAGCACAGAGCCCUGUAGGAAGAAAUGACCCUGGGACACCAGCUCUCCUGAGUGGGAAUUUCACUGUUCCAGAGUACACUAGGAGUGGGGGUAGAAGAGGUUGAGGCAGGGAAAAGAACUGAAGGAGAGAGGGAGUGAGGGUGUGGCCUAGCUGUGGUAUCUUCCAAUUUUUAGCUAAUUCAUUUUGCUAACUAGGGUCUAAAGUCAAUUGUUUCUACACCCACAGUGUUGUGAGGCUCAGAUGAAAUAAUGGAUGUACAGUUCUUUGCAAACUUAAAGCACUAAAGAAAUAUCAGUUAUUAUUAUUAUUAUUGCUAUCCUCCAGUUACCAAGCUGAUAGUCUGGUGAUAAUUUCAUUUCCUGAGCCUUCCUAUUGCAAUCUUGCUGAGUUUAAGCGUUGUUUACAGAGUAAUUCAAGGGUGUGCUAGUAAAUGUUUAACAAUCAGGCUUUCACAAGUGCAUACAAUAUACUUUAAAGCAUAUUCUGCAUUCACUGAGUCCUUAAGUCUAGAUAAUCAACAAAACAAUAAACUCCUGAUUUGUAACUACUUCUUGAGGAGGUAUGAAUUCUCACUGAGAAAAUUUAACAAUUGGUUGUGGAAAGUAGAUGAGAGUAGGAGAAAGAGAAUCCAAAUAACAAAAUGUCAGAUGACAAUUAUUUUAGAUUAUUUCUACAUGUAAUUAAAAACAAAUUUAAAAGGAAACAUCAGAAAACUAGAUAUUAAUCAUACAUGUACAUAUUUAUUUUCUUUUUAGUUUUGAAAUCCUAUGAAAUACAAAGAUAUGAAAUACCAUUUUCAAUUGCUUGUGAUAUCAAAAGAUAAUUAAAAUUGAUCUAUAACUGAAAAAAAAGUAGAAUAGAACUAUUUCCAGUAGACCCUUGACUUUAAUAAGUUCCCUUUCAAUUUCAGUGUCCUGGGAGAAGAACCCAGUUACCCCACCCUUAUUAUGGUUCUAUGGAGACACUGAUCUUAGAUAUUCUUACCUAUCAGUUUGAGAUUUCUGGCCACAGUGAAGCCUCACUAGGCAGGGACUUCUGAGAAUUAUUUGAUUAUUUUGGUGAAAUUUAUUCUUGUUACCAUGGAAAAGUGGAUAGAUAGCUGGUCUCAGGACCAGAGAGACCGGAAUUCAAGACCUAGCACUGAAAUAUACUGACUGUGGGACUGACCGCAUACAAAGCCUUUUUACUGUUUUAGGUAUACAUAAGGCCAGGGCUCCCUUGAGUAAAACUAAUAAAUCAUUCCCCACCAUUUAAAGUAUCAAAAUGGUAUCUGAAGAAACAGACUGAUAUCAUGAGAAUUUGCCCUCCAGAUGACCCCCUAAUGGAUCCCUUAUCCCAAGAACUAAGACUGACAUGUCCUUAUUUAUGUAGUACCAUAAGGAUAUGUUAUAUCAGAACUUCAGGUUUCACUGACUUGACCUAGGUCACCAUGACCAUAUGUUAAAGAGAAACAUCUGGGUAGCAGAGACUAAGAUUGAUGUGUCUUCCCUUUUGGCACCUGGGUUUUAGGACAAACCCCUAUCCCUAUCCCCUCUAUAUAAGCCAGGUCUAGGAAAGGUUCAGGGUCUUCCACUUCUCGUUGAGGACCAAGCUAUAGCUUGAAUAAAGUACCUCUUGUGUAUUGCAUUACCAUGUGUGUCUCCUCCUUGAAUCAGAACCAGAACCGGACAGAACAUUUGGGGGCUCAUCCAGGAAUCCAAAGGUUUGGAUCACACAGUGGUAAAGGUACUUGAAUCUCUGAAGGGAACUCUGAGUGUUUGUUUGUGUGAAUGUGUAUGGGGGAGGGAGAGUCUGGAUUGUGGCAUAUGGCUAAGUGUCUAACCACUGGUCACCAGCCCAGGGUUUAUUUGGGAUGGCCUAUUGCCAAGUUGCAUCCAUUGAGGUCCCCUUUCACCUGUUUCUGAGUGAGAACCUGCCAAGUACUCGGUUCCUGAGUCCCAUGAGGGGCCAGGUCAGAACGGCCAGGAAGUAGAAGUGUUGUUUUGAGAGAUUUCCCUUCUAGAGGAUUUGUUAAGAGAGUUCAGUAGGAACUCCGGGGUGGCUAGAGGCCCCCCGCCCAAGAUGGACUUGGGACAGGAACUUUGGGGUGGUUAGAGGCCCCCUGCCCAAGUUGGAUGUGGGACAGGAAUUGGGUCCCUGCAACAGAAGUUCAAGUCUUCAGAGGACCCAAUGCGUCCUAAGGAGCACCGUUGGAUGGGGCUGACUCCUUAUGACCUGUCUGCCAAUCAGGGGAAGCAGUGACUGGACUUCCUUCAGAUCUCCAAGCAGGUCCACCUACCUAGGACCCAGGCAUUCACUGAGGACACGCCCCCUAAAGACCUUGUGUCCACAGCCUUUCCCUCCCUGUUCAAGUUUUGGCUACUCCCCUGUGGGAGAUGUGAACUUUGCAUUUGUAACCUUGUUACUUCUCUAGUUGCUUCUAGGGUAAAAGCACUCAGAGGAGUCACCCAGAUGUCACUGUAACCUCAGCAACUAUACCAGCCUGAAGCCCUGGACAUUGCCUAUAGCCAAUACCUCUCUCCUAACAAUAGGCAGGAAUAGCUCUACAGUCAUUCUCAGCUCUGAAGAAGCUAUAGAAGUCUGAGACCAUCGCCCCUUUCCCCUUAGAUAUUUAGAGAGGGGGAGAUGACAUGGGCAUUGUACCCCCAGAAACUCGGGCAAACUAUUAUCAGGGAAAUUCUUCUGCUCCCUUGCAUCCUCAUGACUCCUAGCCUAAGGAUUCUUUGCUUUUAUGCUGAUCAUACAAGGCUAGUUAAUCACCUAGUAGCCUUGUCAAGGAUCACAUUAAUACUGUCUAGCUAUGGUCCUUCACCAGCAAUAUCAAAUUCUGACUCCUAUUGAGAUCCCUUAUGAGGACAUGGUUGCAUGAGGAAGAUUCCUCAUGUACAGUUAAAGAAGUGGGGAAUGAAGAAACAGACUGAUAUCACGAGCACUUGCCCUCCAGAUGACCCCCUAAUGGAUCCCUUAUCCCAAGAACUAAGACUGACAUGUCCUUAUUUAUGUAGUACCAUAAGGAUAUGUUAUCUCAGAACUUCAGGUUUCACUGACCUGACCUAGGUCACCAUGACCAUAUGUUAAAGAGAAACAUCUGGGUAGCAGAGACUAAGAUUGAUGUGUCUUCCCUUUUGGCGCCUGGGUCUUAGGACAAACCCCUAUCCCUAUCCCCUCUAUAUAAGCCAGGUCUAGGAAAGGCUCAGGGUCUUCCACUUCUCGUUGAGGACCAAGCUAUAGCUUGAAUAAAGUACCUCUUGUGUAUUGCAUUACCAUGUGUGUCUCCUCCUUGGAAUCAGAACCAGAACUGGACAAAUCAACCUUAACUAGUAGAGAACUCUUUUCUACUAAUCAAUCAUAGACUUAAGACUGGUAUAAAAAAAAAAGCUAACUGUAGUGAUGUCAGUGUUAGGCAGUAUGCUAAUCAACUUGAAAAAACAAAGAAUCACCAAAACAGUUACAAAAGAGCACAUCUGUAAUCAAGACAAGGGAGCUAAUGCUUUUAUGGCCACCAUACAAAGUCAGCACACACACAACACAACAAAGUCAAACUUUGAGACUUGGGGAACAAUGAGUACACCACAAAUGGGAAUUUCCCUGAACCAAAGAUUUCAGGUUCUAUUUAUUAACUGAGGGAAUAUACCCCAAGAGGAAACAACUGAUUGAUUUCAUAGGGCCUUGGGAAAGAGGCUAUAGUCUGAGGCUAGGGUAUCUGGGAGAAGCCUAAACAUAAUAAGAGAAACUUAGAAACCAAAAAAAAAAAAGGGGGUACUUAAGAGUUGACUACCUCUACUACUCCUCUUCUGGGUACUCAAUGGGUGCUUGAUAGUCUAUUGCUCAGUCUGGGAGUUGUCCCCUGGGACAAUGAAAAAUUUGGGGUUUUAUAAAACAAAGUUGUCACAAAGAAGGGCAAAAGAUAGCCCUUGCUCUCAGAGUUCACAGUUUAAUGAGGGAGACAACAUGGAAACAACUAUGUAUAAUAUAUACCAGAUAAAUUGGAGAUACUCAACAAAAGAAGGCACUAGAAUUAAGGGGAAUUGGGAAAGAUUUCUUGUAGAAGAUGGGAUUGUAGAUGGGACUUGAAAGAUAUCCUGGAAGCCAGGUAGCAGAGAUGAAGAGUGAAAGAAUUCCAGUCAUGGGCAACAUCCAUUGAAAAUGCCCAGAACUGGGAAAUUCAGUAUCUUGUUAUAUAAUAGCAAGAAGGACUGUGUUACUAUAUCAAGAUAAAUUCAAAAUGGGUAAAUGACUUCAAUAUAAGGAGUGAAAUCAUAAAUAAAUUUGGUGAACAUAGAAUAGUAUGCCUGUCAGAUCUGUGGGAAAGGAAGGCAUUUAAGACCAAGCAAGAGAAAUGGAACAUUGCAAAAUAUAAAAUAAAUGGCUUUGAUUAUAUUGAAUUAAAAAGGUUUUGUACAAACAAAACCAAUGCAACCAAAAUUAGAAGGAAAGCAACAAACUGGGAGAAUAUUUUUAUAACAAAACUCUGACAAAGGCUUAAUUUCCCCAAUACAUAAGGAAUUAAGUAAAAAAAAAUUGGAAAAUGAGGAGGUGUCCAUUGAUUGGGGAAUGGCUGAACAAAUUGUGGUAUCUGGUGGUGAUGGAAUACUAUUGUGCUGAAAGGAAUAAGGAACUGGAGGAAUUCAUGUGAACUGGAAAGACCUCCAGGAAUUGAUGCAGAGCAAAAGGAGCAGGACCAGGAGAACAUUGUAUACAGAAAGUGAUACUUUGUGGGACAAUCAAAUGUAAUGGACUUUUCUACUAGCAGCAGUGCUAUGAUCCAGGACAAUCCAGAGGAACGUGUGAGAAAGAAUGCUAUCCACAUCCAGAGAAAGAACUGUGGGAGCAGAAACACAGAAGAAAAACAUAUGAUUAGUCAUGUAGUUCAAUAUGAAUAUGAUUAGGGUUUUGAUGUUAAGAGAUCACUCUACUGCAAAUACAAAUAGCAUGGAAAUAGGUUUUGAACAAAGAUACAUGUAUAACCCAGUGGAAUUUCUUGUCAACUCUGGGAGGGGGGAGAAAGGCAGAAAGAAUCAAGAAUCAUGUAACCAUGGAAAAAAUAGAAAGAAAGAAAGAAAGAAAGAAAGAAAGAAAGAAAGAAAGAAAGAAAGAAAGAAAGAAAGAAAGAAAGAAAGAAAGAAAGAAAGAAAGAAAGGAAGGAAGGA